CGAUUUAAAAUGUCCCGAUUUAAAAUUGGAAGGGUUCGCUCUCGCCGAGUCUCCUCUCACCUCGCCGAUCCAAAUUUGGGGAUCCCUUGUGGGAUCAACCCUAAUCUGUCUUGGCGGCUGUGGGAGCUUCUCGUUGGCCGGAGGAUAGUGGAAGGACGGUGAGCUCGCGGUUGACCGGAUGAAGCAUACACAGCACUCGCUGGCGGAGGUUCCCAACGGCGGCGUGCUCGCGUCUCUCUGCCGGAGGCGUGCUCGCACUCACAGCGGAGGCGUGCUUCACCCGAGCAGAGGUAUCGCAGAACUCGCGCUCCCGUCGCACUCCCUUCGCGUGCUCG
rnacentral:lncRNA from 1 species